UACGGAGGGGGUUAGCGUUGUUCGGAAUGACUGGGCGUAAAGCGCGCGUAGGCGGAUCAGGAAGUUGGGGGUGAAAUCCCGGGGCUCAACCCCGGAAUGGCCUUCAAAACUCCUGGUCUUGAGUUCGAGAGAGGUGAGUGGAAUUCCGAGUGUAGAGGUGAAAUUCGUAGAUAUUCGGAGGAACACCAGUGGCGAAGGCG
rnacentral:rRNA from 1 species